rnacentral:rRNA from 1 species
CAAAGGUUUGGUCCUGACUUUUCUGCCAGCUCUAGCUAGACUUACACAUGCAAGUAUCCGCGCCCCCGUGAGAAUGCCCUAUAGUUUCCUGCCCGGGAACAAGGAGCCGGUAUCAGGCACACUUGCUGUACGCCCACGACGCCUUGCUCAGCCACACCCCCAAGGGUACUCAGCAGUGAUAAACAUUGACACAUAAGUGAAAACUUGACUCAGUUAAAGCUAAGAGGGCCGGUAAAACUCGUGCCAGCCACCGCGGUUAUACGGGAGGCCCAAGUUGUUAGAAGUCGGCGUAAAGGGUGGUUAAGAGCAAACUUAAAAUUAAAGCCGAACACCUUCCAAGCUGUUAUACGCCUCCGGAGGCAAGAAGCUCAAUUACGAAAGUAGCUUUAUAUUUUCUGAACCCACGAAAGCUAAGACACAAACUGGGAUUAGAUACCCCACUAUG